CCGCCCUGUCAGUGUGACCUAAAUACCAGGUGUGCACCAUCAAGGUUGGUUUCCUUCCUGGUAUGAAGAGUCAUGUUAAGAGGUUGUCCGCCCUGUCAGUGUGACCUAAAUACCCGGUGUGCAUCAUCAAGUCAUGUUCAGAGGAUGGCCGCCCUGUCAGUGUGACCUAAAUACCCGGUGUUCACCAUCAAGUUUGGUUUCUUUCCUGGUAUGAAGAGUCAUGUUAAGAGUAUGGCCGCCCUGUCAGUGUGACCUAAAUACCCGGUGUGCACCAUCAAGUUUGGUUUCUUUCCUGGUAUGAAGAGUCAUGUUAAGAAGUUGGCCGCCCUGUCAGUGUGACCUAAAUACCCGGUGUGGACCAUCAAGAUUGGUUUGUUUCCUUGUAUGAAGAUGUAUUUAUAAAUAAUAAGAGGGUGUUAUGUGUAUGUUUAUAUACAUAUAUGUACAUGUUGUG